UACGUAGGGUGCAAGCGUUAAUCGGAAUUACUGGGCGUAAAGCGUGCGCAGGCGGUCGUGCAAGACAGAUGUGAAAUCCCCGGGCUCAACUUGGGAACUGCAUUUGUGACUGCACGGCUGGAGUGCGGCAGAGGGGGAUGGAAUUCCGCGUGUAGCAGUGAAAUGCGUAGAUAUGCGGAGGAACACCGAUGGCGAAGGCAAUCCCCUGGGCCUGCACUGACGCUCAUGCACGAAAGCGUGGGGAGCAAACAGG
rnacentral:rRNA from 1 species